UGGGCGCACUUUUUCACUUUUUUGGCGCCACUUUCGGCUGUGCAAAAUGCUUUUGUUUGUAUUAUUUAUUUCUUUGGAAUUUACGCAAAAAUUAUUAAUUUUGUACUAAAAUGGAUGACCUCACUAGACUAAAAAGGAAGAUUACCAGCUCGUUCAAGCUAAGCGGCUUUCUUAUACGUUCGGAGAAUAGCGCAUAUUUGGCCGAGCAGCUCCUGCCAUUUGAUGAGGCUGAACGGGAGAAGUGGCUGACGGUGAUCACAGAAAAUUUGCAAGGCCAGCGUUUGCAAACGACACAAGUGGAAAGAGGAGUACUUGAAAAAGCUAUAAAUGAAAUUAAUCGCGUGGGCCUGGAUGAGGGCGAGACAGUCUUUACGCUUAUUGAUGCAUUCAAAGUGCCACGCUACCAUUACAAUACCCAAAGCAAGAAAUUCGAAUUGAAUCGAGAUCCGCGUUGCAUUCUCACACAACCAGCGAUGAAAUCAGGAUAUUUGCGUGAACGUUAUGCCAUGCUGUUGCAAAAGACUCUGCGGCAUGAGUUAUUUGCACCACCUAUAAUAGAGGGUGGCGUUUCAACGGAAUCGCAGGUAAAAAAGUUUAAAUUGCAGUAUGCAGAAAAUUUGCUUGCGUCAUCCUCGGUAAAGGAAGCAGUGGUACUCGGGUUGCUGACACAGUUAAAAGAAGGAAAAUUUUACAUAGAAGAUCCUACAGGUUGCCUUGAGCUGGACUUGUGCGGAACGCGCUUUCAUUCAGGUUUCUUCUGUGAGGGCUGCUUUGUGUUGGCUGAAGGUUCAUAUAACAAUGGCGUUCUCAAAGUUGAUGGCCUGGGUUUUCCGCCAGCUGAACCCGCUACUAGUUCACGAGCAUUUUUUGGAACACAAAACAGUUGGGGUGGCGAGUCUUCAAAAUUGUUGAAAUAUUCCAUAAGGCUGGAAGAAUUGGAGAGUACCAACACUGAAGCUACGCUUGUGUUUCUGUCGGAUGUGCGUCUAGAUAAUCCUGUUGUUUUAGAACGCUUACGCAUGCUAUUUGUUGGCUACGAUUCCUGUCCACCUGUAGCAAUAGUGCUAAUGGGUUCGUUCGCUGCUACCAAUAGUAAUUAUCAUACAUUGUCGCAAAAUUUGACUGCUCUGGGCGCAUUAGCUGCGGGAUGUGAUCAGUUGAAGAAGCAAACGGAUCUGAUAUUAGUACCGUCUUGUGAAGAUCCUACAGCACCGAAUAUUUUACCACGUGCCACCCUACCUGAAUCACUUGCGACGGGUUUGCGCAAAGCAUGGCCGCGUACAUUGCUCGCGACCAACCCUUGUCGUCUGCAAUAUUGUACACAACAGAUUGUUGUUUGUCGUUUGGACUUGAUGGCUAAGUUCUGUCGUAAUACGUUACAUUUUCCACCCGAUACUGAUAAUAUCGAACAACAUUUUGCACGCACACUAGUAUGCCAGAACCAUGUGACUCCCAUACAUCCGAUUGCCAUGCCAGUGCAUUGGGACUAUGAUGCCGCUUUGUGGUUAUAUCCGCUGCCCGAUUUGGUAGUUAUAGGUGACUCGUGCCAGAGUUUCGCAACAACUCAACACGGUUGUACUGUGCUAAACACAGGAUCUUUUGUUAAAUCGAAAUUUGCAUUUAAAGUUUAUAUACCGGCGACGCGCACUAUUGAGGAUUCGGAAAUUCCAGAUGAUAUGACAAUGGAAUAAGCAAAUUCUUAUUUUAUGUUGUGAUAAGCAAAAUUGUACUCUUUAUGUUACUUACUAGAAUUUUUAUAACUAAAACUCAUGCGGCUCUCAACAGCUUGUGCACUUGACCGAGAAACUAAAUUAGAUAUCUACGUGGUUUCGAAUUCGAUUUACGAGCGAUUCUAAAACAGCGCAUGCGUGAGAAAUACAAAAGAGAAGAGUAUAGUAUUUUGACUGCAGAUUUAUACUACAAUACAUUGGAGGCGGAGUCAGUUGGAGUAAAGAAAGUGAUCCAAUAGCAAAUUCAAAAUGGAGAUUUUACGAAAGAAAGAAGACCCCAACUUCUCUAUGACCCACUAGGGAGUUUAACAUUUAGAGCCCGCAGUACAUUGCACGACUGACAGAGGAAAUUGAUUGGAGGAGAGCAAUGAAGCGAGCAUAACGUGGGAUUCAGAACAUUUAGAUAGAUGGAGCCUUGGGGUUAUGCGCUGUAAAGGAGGUCGAGGGCCACAGUUUCAUACAACGGGAAAAUGGUUUUUGCGCUGAGGAAAGGCAACCAGCUCUGCGAAAUUUUGGUAGCUCGGACUACAUAAAUAUUUCACAAACGUACCAUGUAUUGUAGGAGUCCCCCGCUUUGGAGCGUUUGGGCGCCAUAUGUACAUAUGUAUGUCGUGUAAGUAUGCGGACAGACGUGCUGCUGUUGCCUGGCUUCUGUUGCGAUAUGGAUGGCGAUAUCGCUUGCAGGCAACAUACGUGUGUAUUCGCAACAACAUGUGUGAUGUGUGGCAAUCCGUAUGGACGAUCUCUUGGCGUGCACAUAUGUAAACCACAUACGAUACGAC